GUAUAGAGUUAUUGGCGUACAACUUUGAGCGGUGGAUCACUCGGCUCGUGUGU
rnacentral:rRNA from 1 species